GUCCCCAAACUUUCACAGCUGGGCAUUUUUCCAGUAAAAGGCAAACAACACAAAAUAACAAAGAGCAAGGCAGAGGCACCAUUUGGUGAAGGUUUCUGAACAGGUAUCUGCCCACAUUAGCCAGAAAUAUUCUGGCCCUUCUCUUGCAUAAAAUCCUAUGUACCAAGCUUACAUGGGUGGCACUUAGGAAAAAAAAAAAGAAAGACAGUCCCCCUCUAAGUAGCUUGCUCUUAAGUAAAUGCCAGUGUCAAGAUGGCCAGAAGGUUAUCUAGGGAGAGAAUCAAGACACUGCUGUUUUGCUUCCCUCUGGUCUUCCCACUCCCCAGUGGCUGACUUCUCUGCCUUAUAGUUAGCCUGGUGCAGCAGCUCUGUUCAAAGCUGGAAAACUCCCACUGGUGGUAUGAGUACACUUGGGUCCCGCUGUUGAGAGCUGAUUUCUGCAGAUGUAUCAGCACAGCCCUCUCAAUAGCACAUUUUCCCUGGAGGUGAGAAGACUGGUUGGGACAGUAAAUAAUUAGCUUUUCUGCCUUUGGCUAUAGAAAUGAUUAUGAAUUUUUAAGCAAUGAGAAUGAUUGAAGCCAUUUCUGUUUGCUUUCUUUUAGUUGUGUUGCAAAGUUUAGCUUCAAGAAGGAAAAUACCCCCAGAGGAGGUUGAUAGACAGCUGCUCCCCCGCUUCGUCCUCAACCCACCAUGUCUGUGCCAGAAGACACCUUUCCUGAGCUUAAGCAAAAUCACUGUGCUACAGGCACAGCAAAUACCUUAUUCUUUCUGCUGUUUCCAACAGAGCUGCAAAACAGACCAUGCAGUGGCUGUUGGAACAUGCUGA
rnacentral:lncRNA from 1 species